GUGGCCGAGUGGUCGAAGGCGCUCCCCUGCUAAGGGAGUAGGCGGGAAACCGUCUCGAGGGUUCGAAUCCCUUCGUCUCC
rnacentral:tRNA from 1 species